rnacentral:rRNA from 1 species
AGAUUGAACGCUGGCGGCAGGCCUAACACAUGCAAGUCGAGCGGCAGCACGGGUACUUGUACCUGGUGGCGAGCGGCGGACGGGUGAGUAAUGCCUAGGAAUCUGCCUGGUAGUGGGGGAUAACGCUCGGAAACGGACGCUAAUACCGCAUACGACCUACGGGAGAAAGCAGGGGACCUUCGGGCCUUGCGCUAUCAGAUGAGCCUAGGUCGGAUUAGCUAGUGGUGAGGUAAUGGCUCACCGAAGGCGACGA